GCACAAGCAUCAACCAUCAUUCACUCUAACACGACUCUCCAUUCCUUUACUCACCUAACAGAUUCACCUCCUCCGAAACCCAUUCCUCCAUCACGCACAUCACAAGAACCCACUAUUUCCCAACCUACAUUCUCAUUCACCAUUGUUUGCAAAAAAGAGUUUUCUUCUGUCAUCUCCUCCCUUCCAAUUUUUUCUAGCACUAGAAAAUCAUUUCCUAACCUCUAUCGUGUUUCCUAUCAUCAUCAAAACCACCUCUAGACCCACCAUCAUAUUCUAUCACCCUUUAUUCUCACCCGUGAUCC
rnacentral:lncRNA from 1 species